rnacentral:misc_RNA from 1 species
GUAGGUGAACCUGCGGAAGGAUCAUUAAUACGCUUUUGUUUGUAACAAAACAAAACGUUUUAAACUCCAAAAGAAAUAGUGGAAAUAUAACUUCCGGAUGCGAAUGUUGGGAACUGAGUAAAAUCGGUUCUUUGAAAAAGGGACUUCAAGCAAUUGACACUUCAGAGUAGAGCAGUGAGGUGAAAUUCUCGUUUUCGAGCGAGAGUUUGGUUCUGAAAAACAUUUGUAUCCGGUUAUCAUAAUCUGUUCUACAACACAAAAUAUCAAACAAUAAACCCCAUGUACAACAACUUGAACUAAACAUUUUUUUGUUGUCUGCUCGCCCUUGUGUGAGAAGAUGCUACAAAGAAAAAACCUGAACUUAAGAACAACUCUUAACAACGGAUAUCUUGGUUCUC